UCUCAUUUCCCUGUGAUUUGUCAUCCUGCACUCUGCACCAGUGGGACAGUAAGAACACAAUUAUCUACCUGCGGCUCCUCGUGUCCUUGGGAUUGGCUGAGCAGAGCGGGGAGAGCACGACGUCCUGCCUGGGACCCUGCCUCUCCAGAACCGUCCAGCGGCUCCCACCAGCAGGGGGACCACAGUGGCUCUCCAUCCUGAAGUCUGGAUCCAGAUUUUCCUCAUGUAAAACGCAUCCUGGUGCCAAAGGCCAGCAUUUACUUCCAGUUUUUUUAAAACACUUUUUUUAAAAAAUAAAACAUUGAGAAGACAUUUCCAGUAGGGUAAUUUUCCUUUGUGAAUAUUUUCUUUCUGGAGCACUUAAAACCAUCACACUGAGAAGGAUAUGUUAAUGAAAAUACGAGAUAGCUAUCAAGUUACACAUAAAAAUCAUCUUUUCAAAGACUGGGCUCAUCUGAGCUCCAUUUUCAAAU
rnacentral:lncRNA from 1 species